rnacentral:rRNA from 1 species
AUUGAACGCUGGCGGCAUGCCUUACACAUGCAAGUCGAACGGUAACAGGUCUUCGGAUGCUGACGAGUGGCGAACGGGUGAGUAAUACAUCGGAACGUGCCUAGUAGUGGGGGAUAACUACUCGAAAGAGUGGCUAAUACCGCAUGAGAUCUACGGAUGAAAGCAGGGGAUCGCAAGACCUUGUGCUACUAGAGCGGCCGAUGGCAGAUUAGGUAGUUGGUGGGAUAAAAGCUUACCAAGCCGACGAUCUGUAGCUGGUCUGAGAGGACGACCAGCCACACUGGGACUGAGACACGGCCCAGACUCCUACGGGAGGCAGCAGUGGGGAAUUUUGGACAAUGGGCACAAGCCUGAUCCAGCAAUGCCGCGUGCAGGAAGAAGGCCUUCGGGUUGUAAACUGCUUUUGUACGGAGCGAAAAGGCUCUCUCUAAUACAGGGGGCUCAUGACGGUACCGUAAGAAUAAGCACCGGCUAACUACGUGCCAGCAGCCGCGGUAACAC